rnacentral:lncRNA from 1 species
AAAUAAUGCGCGGGAAAAAGCUUAAAAUAACUUGAGGAAAAUACAAAAUCAAUAUUUGAAUUCUUACUGGCAAGCUAUCAGACUCGCGUUGCCAGUGGUCUUCUGCUCGAUUCUCUCGUUCAUUAUUUGUUUGGUUCCUGAGAAAAUAUUGGAUUUUGCCGGUGGAAUCAAGAACAAACUGAGAGCUUUAUCGGUUGCUUCAAAUUUCGUAACUAUUACUGCUUUGGUACAUUAUAUUUUCUCUCUCAUCAACGAUCUCAGUUUUUUAUUUUAUUUUUCAUCGAUUUCUAUUGAUAUACAACAUCAAUCUGAUCUGUAACUUUAUUGAAUUUCAUUCUAUUUGAGCAACAAUUCUUUUGAAUUUCAAUUAUUUUAUUUUGCUCUUCUUUUCUUCACUGUAUAUUAUCUCAAAGUUUUAUGUUGAAAAGAUGUUUGAUGUUUUGCCUAAAUGAAGUGCUAUUUCUAGCUAAUGAAAUUAACUCAGGAGCAAAGUAGUCUUCCUGGUUUUUAACUUGGGAUGAUAACAUGACAUAGGCAACACUUUUGCUUGGCAUGCCUUGCAUAUAUCCAUCAAUAAAUACACAAAUAUUCUGAAUUGACUUCAUUGUUUUACUUUGGAUGAUAACAAAUACUUUUGGGGUGGCAAAUCAAUUCUAAUGGCGGCAUUUUUAGUAAACCCAAACUUUAGUGUUUACUGUGUUCUUAGAUUGCAAGAAAUAUAAUAGUCAAAUUUUAUUUUAUUUAUCAGGAGAAAGAAUUGGAAUGGGGCAAAAGCUUUAGAGCUUGGGAAAAAUAAACCAUUUUGCCCGAACCAGGUAUGUAUGAUAAAAACCUGUAAAAGUACCAUGGAAGCUCUUGCACUAAUAAUUAGAUUGUAUUUUGUUCAUCUACUUAAAAAAAUGGACAAAUUAGUCCCUAUACAUUAGAUCAAAGAGCAAAUUGAUCAUUUUGUUAAUAAUUCUAUCCAUUUUUACUGUUAAAUAUUGGUUAUUGUAUAUCAGUAUGAGGAACACGUGGCACGUCACUUGUCAUUGUUUAAUUAUUUCGUUAGCUACAUUAGUUUUAACAGUUAAAAUGUAUGAAAUUUUUAAUAGAAAUGAUUGAUUUGCUAUUUAAUUUAAGGCACUCAUUUUUUAAUAGAAAUAAUAAAAUAUAAUUUGACUUCUAGUACUAGGGCCUCAUGAUACACUUUUACCGAUAAAAACCAUGUUUUGAGUUCUAAUUGUUUAGCUUGUAUUGUGUGUUAUGUUAGGUAAUCAGUGGUAGAAUAGUGCAUUGCAUGUUUCUCCAUUUCACCUUCUAAAUGGUUAUAAUUUGCUAUUUUUAUAUCUCUUACGCUUGAGGGUAAAUGAAUCAUACAUUAAGUCAGACAUAUGUUGCAUUUGACACUUACCUAUAUUUGCAUAAAAUGUAUCCAAUAUUUAUCUGAAUUCGAAGAUAUAUGAAAGGGAAUUUUUGAUACACAUGUAAGUAAACACAUCUGUCUGCAGUUUUUCAUUCUCAAACUUUGAACAAUUCAGUAACAAACUGGCUUGUAUUAAUAUAUAUCAUCUAUAUAUAUGCAUGAAAUAUUAUCAUCAUCUAUAUAUGUAUAUGAAUGAUCCACAUGUAUGUAAGUACGCACAUUUUUAUUAAAAGAAAUUAAAGGUAAAGUUCCAUAAGUGAUUUUUAAAGAAAAUAAAAAGUCAAAUAGUUUAGUAACUGAAAUUGGCAAAAUAGUCUUCAAAUCAUUUUCUCCUUUUUUUUAAAAGAAAAAAUUAUUUAUACUAACAAGUGGAGAUUAACCAUAUUUCACCUGCAAUUUUCCUUCUACCUUGAUCAUCCUAUAAAACAUGUAACUUCAUUUUUUUUUUUUUUUUUUCAAAUUAAACUUUUGGUUAUAUAAUAAUCCUCCAUGUCUUUGAUUAUUCAUCUUGUUGUCACACAUGGCUGCCUCCAUCCAUGAUUAUGAUGAUGAUCUUGAUGAUGGUUCAUAACCUGCUCUUGACAUCUCUUCAAACCAUCUUCAGUCACUCUAUGUUUCCAUGAUUCUUCAACUUUCUCUUGUUUUUCUUCAUUGAUUUUAGAGGAAAUAUCUUGAUCAUUAUGACUUCUAAACAGAUGCAAUCUCAACCGACCAUUUUCCCUGACAGCAUGUAAAAUAUCAGGUCUCUGUAUUUUAACCUCAGUUAACUCCAGUCUCCCAUCUUUUCUCACCGGUUUUAGGUAAAAACAUGGCUGCCCAUUUUCAUUCAAUGAAGAAAGUGGUGGUGGAAACAACUUACUAUAAUUCCUUUCUAUUCUCAUUUUUCCAUUACUUCUUUUCUUUCUCCAUCUAUCCCUUUCUCUUUCACAAAACUCCACCAUCUGUUGAUGAUAAUGAUGAUCAUUAUCAUCAUCAUCGUCAUCAUCAACAAGAAUCCUUCUCUCUUCACAACUCUCCAACCCUAUACUCUCUGUACAUGACAUAAGCCCGUCCACCCCACCACCUAUAUCAUCUAUAAAUCCUAUCCCACCAGGGUCUUUCAUUUUCAAUGGCGGAGGUGGCAACGGUGGCGGCGGCGGAGGCUGUGAUAUAAGUUUAAUAUCAUUGACAAGUACUAAUGAAGAGGACACAAUAACAUUUGGAUUAACAACCCUAGGUGUUUCAUCAUUGAAAAUCAACCCUAAUCCACAUUUAGAAAAACGAAGAUAAUUACGAGAAUUCAUACUAAUGUUUAAUAAACCAAAAAUAGUACUUCAACAUGAAUUGUGAGUAGUAAAAGCAUUGAUACAAGUAAGUUUUAGUGCAAAAUAGUUGAAAAAAAGAGAUAAGAAGAAGAUGAAAAUGGAAAUGGAAAGAAAAGGAUCAUAUUCAUAUGAAAAAUAAAAAUAAAAACAAUUUUUUUUAAUUUUUUAAAAAAGGAUUUGAAGAAGAAGAGAAGGAGAUGGGGUUAUUAAUAACAUCCUCAAGCCAAAGAUAGGGAAAGAAAAAAAAAUUAAAAGAAAAAACAAAAAUUAAAGAGAAAAUAUGGUGAAGAGUGUGCCAACGUGAAUGAUAGAGUAAACGGUGCCGCGUCCCAUGAACUAUUGCCUUAACCUUCGGUAUCAUCUUAAUAAAUUAUUUAGUUUCUUUGAUUUCUUCUUAUAAUUCUAUAGUCAAAUUAAUGGGAUGAGCCAUUUGGCAAUGGCUGCUAAAGAUACUUUGGACUUGAAGAUGAGUUUCAUAUAUAUGUAUGUAUUUGAAAUUAAUAAUAUAAUUUUUUGAGAAUUUUAAAAUUAGUUAUAUUAUAUAUUACAUUAUGCGUAUGUGUUUAAUAUGUAUUUAACAUUUAUAUUAUUAUAUCAUAUUUAAAUGUGGAAUGUGGAUAUUUUUAAGAAAGAAUUUGUACAACAUAAAACCCCAUAAUGGAUUGCCUUGUAAUUCAUAAAUUUAUAAGUAAGAUGGAAUCUUUGUAGUUUAAUAUAAUGUUCAAAGAAAUGUAAUUUACAUUGACAUUCACUCGGAUUUAAUUAAAAGUGACUCAAUUUUUAACUCAAUUAUUAAAUUUUAGAAAAAUAACAAAUCAGUUAUCAGUAACCACAUGUCAUGUUAACUGGUCACGUUGGCAUCAAAUUAGAAGAAGAAGAAACUGGUGUUUUCUCCGGUGCAAAAACCCUAAAACCUUUGAUCUUCAGUGACUCAUUUCAUAUCUCAACCUGACCCAAUCUGGGUCUAAUUCCUUUUCUCCUUCUUCAAAUGAAAAAAACCCCAGAUAAAGUGUUCAAACAAAAAUUAGGAAAAAAAAAAAGUGAAGUGAUUGUUGCGGAGCGUAAGCACUUGGAGUUAGCUUAACCCGUUUAAGGUAGGUACAGGACCUGAAAUGUUAUUUCAUUGUACCUCUAAACGCUCAAGUUCAACAAGGUUCUGAAGAUCUGAAGGAAGUGUACCUUGUAGGUUCUGAUGACCAAUUUGGAUCCGAGUGACGUGCUUGUCCUC